rnacentral:rRNA from 1 species
CCUACGGGAGGCAGCAGUGAGGAAUAUUGGUCAAUGGGCGCUAGCCUGAACCAGCCAAGUAGCGUGAAGGAUGACUGCUCUAUGGGUUGUAAACUUCUUUUAUAUGGGAAUACAGUGCAGUAUGUAUAUUGCUUUCCACGUACCUUAUGAAUAAGCAUCGGCUAACUUCGUGACAUCAGCCGCGGUAAUACGGUGGAUGCAAGCCUUUUCCGGAGUUAUUGGGUUUAAAGGGUGCGUAGGCUGUGAGGUAAGUUAGCGGUGAAAUGCCCCCGCUCAACGGGGUGAAGUGCCAUUGAUACUGCCUUGCUGGAGUGCAGAUGCGGUGGGUGGAAUGUGUGGUGUAGCGGUGAAAUGCAUAGAUAUCACACAGAACACCGAUUGCGAAGGCAUCUCACGGAUCCGCGAUUGACGCUGAUGCACGAAAGCGUGGGUAUCAAACAGGAUUAGAUACCCGGGUAGUC